rnacentral:rRNA from 1 species
CCCUUAGAUGUUCUGGGCCGCACGCGCGCUACACUGACGAAUGCAACGAGCUUAUAACCUUGGCCGAAAGGUCUGGGUAAUCUCCAAAUUUCGUCGUGAUGGGGAUAGAUUAUUGCAAUUAUUAAUCUUCAACGAGGAAUGCCUAGUAAGCGCAAGUCAUCAGCUUGCGUUGAUUACGUCCCCGCCCUUUGUACACACCGCCCGUCGCACCUACCGAUUGAAUGGUUCGGUGAAGAUCUCGGACUUCGAUAUUUAUUCUUUAUUGAGUUUAUAUUGUGGGAAGUUAUCUAAACCUCAUCAUUUAGAGGAAGGUGAAGUCGUAACA